rnacentral:rRNA from 1 species
UACGUAGGGGGCAAGCGUUGUCCGGAUUUACUGGGCGUAAAGAGCGUGUAGGCGGCCAAGCAGGUCCGUUGUGAAAACUGGAGGCUUAACCUCCAGACGUCGACGGAAACCGCGUGGCUAGAGUCCGGAAGAGGAGGAGUGGAAUUCCGUGGUGUAGCGGUGAAAAUGCGCAGAUAUCAGGAAGAACACCAAUGGCGAAGGCAGCUCUCUGGGACGGUACUGACGCUGAGACGCGAAAGCGUGGGGAGCGAACAGG